GCUAUACAUGCAAGUCGAACGAACUCUGGUAUUGAUUGGUGCUUGCAUCAUGAUUUACAUUUGAGUGAGUGGCGAACUGGUGAGUAACACGUGGGAAACCUGCCCAGAAGCGGGGGAUAACACCUGGAAACAGAUGCUAAUACCGCAUAACAACUUGGACCGCAUGGUCCGAGUUUGAAAGAUGGCUUCGGCUAUCACUUUUGGAUGGUCCCGCGGCGUAUUAGCUAGAUGGUGAGGUAACGGCUCACCAUGGCAAUGAUACGUAGCCGACCUGAGAGGGUAAUCGGCCACAUUGGGACUGAGACACGGCCCAAACUCCUACGGGAGGCAGCAGUAGGGAAUCUUCCACAAUGGACGAAAGUCUGAUGGAGCAACGCCGCGUGAGUGAAGAAGGGUUUCGGCUCGUAAAACUCUGUUGUUAAAGAAGAACAUAUCUGAGAGUAACUGUUCAGGUAUUGACGGUAUUUAACCAGAAAGCCACGGCUAACUACGUGCCAGCAGCCGCGGUAAUACGUAGGUGGCAAGCGUUGUCCGGAUUUAUUGGGCGUAAAGCGAGCGCAGGCGGUUUUUUAAGUCUGAUGUGAAAGCCUUCGGCUCAACCGAAGAAGUGCAUCGGAAACUGGGAAACUUGAGUGCAGAAGAGGACAGUGGAACUCCAUGUGUAGCGGUGAAAUGCGUAGAUAUAUGGAAGAACACCAGUGGCGAAGGCGGCUGUCUGGUCUGUAACUGACGCUGAGGCUCGAAAGUAUGGGUAGCAAACAGGAUUAGAUACCCUGGUAGUCCAUACCGUAAACGAUGAAUGCUAAGUGUUGGAGGGUUUCCGCCCUUCAGUGCUGCAGCUAACGCAUUAAGCAUUCCGCCUGGGGAGUACGGCCGCAAGGCUGAAACUCAAAGGAAUUGACGGGGGCCCGCACAAGCGGUGGAGCAUGUGGUUUAAUUCGAAGCUACGCGAAGAACCUUACCAGGUCUUGACAUACUAUGCAAAUCUAAGAGAUUAGACGUUCCCUUCGGGGACAUGGAUACAGGUGGUGCAUGGUUGUCGUCAGCUCGUGUCGUGAGAUGUUGGGUUAAGUCCCGCAACGAGCGCAACCCUUAUUAUCAGUUGCCAGCAUUAAGUUGGGCACUCUGGUGAGACUGCCGGUGACAAACCGGAGGAAGGUGGGGAUGACGUCAAAUCAUCAUGCCCCUUAUGACCUGGGCUACACACGUGCUACAAUGGAUGGUACAACGAGUUGCGAACUCGCGAGAGUAAGCUAAUCUCUUAAAGCCAUUCUCAGUUCGGAUUGUAGGCUGCAACUCGCCUACAUGAAGUCGGAAUCGCUAGUAAUCGCGGAUCAGCAUGCCGCGGUGAAUACGUUCCCGGGCCUUGUACACACCGCCCGUCACACCAUGAGAGUUUGUAACACCCAAAGUCGGUGGGGUAACCUUUUAGGAACCAGCCGCCCU
rnacentral:rRNA from 2 species